CGGGGCGUAGCGCAGUCUGGUAGCGUACUUGACUGGGGGUCAAGUGGUCAGAG
rnacentral:tRNA from 1 species